rnacentral:rRNA from 1 species
UACGGAGGAUGCGAGCGUUAUCCGGAUUUAUUGGGUUUAAAGGGUGCGUGGGCGGUCCGUUAAGUCAGCGGUAAAAUUGCGGGGCUCAACCCCGUCGAGCCGUUGAAACUGGCAGACUUGAGUUGGCGAGAAGUACGCGGAAUGCGCGGUGUAGCGGUGAAAUGCAUAGAUAUCGCGCAGAACUCCGAUUGCGAAGGCAGCGUACCGGCGCCAGAUUGACGCUGAGGCACGAAAGCGUGGGGAUCGAACAGG